GUUUCUGUAGUGUAGUGGUUAUCACGUUUGCCAAACACGCGAAAGGUCCCCCGGUUCGAAACUGGGCAGAAACU
rnacentral:tRNA from 1 species